rnacentral:misc_RNA from 1 species
ACUCUUCAACCCACCGGUUCCUUGUUGAACCGUGUUGGCGCUUGGUUUCUGAACGUUGCUGGUUCCUCGUGAACGCUAGCUCGUUUAAAAUUCAUUAGCAUCUCAAUUUCGAAACGUGGAUUGACUCAGCGUAAUAGACUAUUCGCUGAGGACACUGCUUGCGGUGGCCAUGUUAGAUAACGAUUGAUGCUUAUAGCACUCUAUCUAGUCAUUCUUUCUAAGAU